AAUCGUCAAUGCGACGUCCUCCUACUCCCACCUCAGAGCUGUCACAGAGACUGUCAGUUCCGUCCCUCCCCUUCAGCCCUUUAACGCACGUCUUCCCGACCGCAUAACUUGCUCAGUCCCUGCGGCCAACUGGGGCGGGCCAAUGGCUGUGACGGAUAAGGGGUGUGGGGUGCGGGGACAAUGGGCCAGAGCUUCUCAUGCAGCCUGCACCAGCGCCGGGUCGGAGAGUCAGAGGCCACCCUGAGAUGGACCGAGAUCUUCAGUUGGGGAGGCGCCUCCGGUGAGCUUGCGGCCAGAUGCCCCCUCAGUAGUCCUCCGCAACAGGUGCCGCGCAGCCGAGUGGCGGGCUAGCAUACCGCCUGCCCGCAAUUCGGCCAGGCCUCGAGCCUGCUCCGCCUUCCCGCUGCGGUAGCGCCGCCGGGGAAACGCCGCCACGGGCUGCAUGGGCAGCGCUCGCGCCCCGCCGCUGAGCCGCCGGGGAGCCGUCCAGUCUUCGAAUCCCAGAAACACAAAGAUGGUGCAGACCCAGGCCCUGCUUUGACUGGGAGAAAGAUGCAUUCAGUUGACUAAAACUUGAAAACUGUCCAUUUGGCUAUGAGCGAAUCAUCCUGCUUGCUUUUAUAAGCAUUUAUCCUGAAAAGAAAUUUAAAGCAGACAUCCCAUAAAUGGAGUCUGGGACAGAAACCUACACAUUGGGGCUUGGUGGCAUGCAUGUUUAGUCCCAGCUACACAGCAGGGAGGCUGAGGCUGAAGGAAUACUUGAGCCCAGGAAUUCAAGACUAGCCUGCACAACAUAUUUCAGGUGGAGCCUCUGGGAGGUGAUGAGGUCAUGAGAGUGGAGCCUCAUGAAUGGGAUGAGCACUCCUACAAAAAGGAUUCCAGAGAGCUCGCUUGCUCCUUCCACAGUGUGAGGACACAGAGGGAAGGCUCUGUCUAUGAAUGAGAAAGUGGGUCCCCACCAGACAUUGAAUCUGCCGCAUCUUGAUACUGGACUUCCAGUCUCCAGAACUGUGGGCAAUAAAUGUCUGUUGUUUAUUACCUGUCCAGUAUCUUUGGUAUUUUGCUAUAGCAACCCAAAUGGACUAAGAAAACACCAGAGGCCAUACCUAAUAAAAAUAUUGACAUCACAA
rnacentral:lncRNA from 10 species